rnacentral:misc_RNA from 1 species
GGAAGGAUCAUUGUCGUGACCCUGACCAAAACAGACCGUGAACGCGUUAUCUUGCCUGCCAGCGGCGGCUAUGCCGUCGCUUGGCCAAACUCCUCGAGAAAUCCCAGCUCCUUGGAGCAGGGGCUCGGGGUAAAAGAACCCACGGCGCCGAAGGCGUCAAGGAACACUGUGCCUAACUCGGGAAGCGGUUGGCUUGCUAGCCGCCCCUCGUGUUGCAAUGCUAUUUAAUCCACACGACUCUCGGCAACGGAUAUCUCGGCUCUCGCAUCGAUGAAGAACGUAGCGAAAUGCGAUACCUGGUGUGAAUUGCAGAAUCCCGCGAACCAUCGAGUCUUUGAACGCAAGUUGCGCCCGAGGCCUCUUGGCCAAGGGCACGCCUGCCUGGGCGUCACGCCAAACACGCUCCCACCCCUCAUCGGGUUGUGGGAUGCGGCAUGUGGCCCCCCGCCUCGUAAGAGUCGGUGGGCCAAAGAUGUGGCUGCCGGCGUAUCGUUCCGGACACAGCGCGUGGUGGGCGAACUCGCUUUACUUAUCGCAGUGCGUCCGGACCGUAGCCGACGUGAUGGCCUUAAGGACCCUAUGAACGGGGCGCAUGACGCUCCGACCGCGACCCCAGGUCAGGCGGGACUACCCGCUGAAUUUAAGCAUAUAAAUAAGCGGAGGAGAAGAAACUUACAAGGAUUCCCCUAGUAACGGCGAGCGAACCGGGAUCAGCCCAGCUUGAGAAUCGGGCGGCCGUGCCGUCCGAAUUGUAGUCUGGAGAGGCGUCCUCAGCGACGGACCGAGCCCAAGUCCCCUGGAAAGGGGCGCCUGGGAGGGUGAGAGCCCCGUCCGGCCCGGACCCUGUCGCAUCACGAGGCGCCGUCAACGAGUCGGGUUGUUUGGGAAUGCAGCCCAAAUCGGGCGGUAGACUCCGUCCAAGGCUAAAUACAGGCGAGAGACCGAUAGCGAACAAGUACCGCGAGGGAAAGAUGAAAAGGACUUUGAAAAGAGAGUCAAAGAGUGCUUGAAAUUGCCGGGAGGGAAGCGGAUGGGGGCCGGCGAUGCGCCCUGGCCGUAUGCGGAACGGCUCUUGCUGGUCCGCCGCUCGGCUCGGGGCGUGGACUGUUGUCGGCUGCGCCGGCGGCCAAAGCCCGGGGGCCUUAGGUGCCCCCGGUGGCCGUCGUCGGCACGGCCGGUAUCCGCGCGCCGAAAGGCGUGUCCCUCGGGGCACUGCGCUGCAACGGCCUGUGGGCUCCCCAUCCGACCCGUCUUGAAACACGGACCAAGGAGUCUGACAUGCGUGCGAGUCGACGGGUUCUGAAACCUGGGAUGCGCAAGGAAGCUGACGAGCGGGAGGCCCUCACGGGCCGCACCGCUGGCCGACCCUGAUCUUCUGUGAAGGGUUCGAGUUGGAGCACGCCUGUCGGGACCCGAAAGAUGGUGAACUAUGCCUGAGCGGGGCGAAGCCAGAGGAAACUCUGGUGGAGGCUCGAAGCGAUACUGACGUGCAAAUCGUUCGUCUGACUUGGGUAUAGGGGCGAAAGACUAAUCGAACCAUCUAGUAGCUGGUUCCCUC